rnacentral:lncRNA from 1 species
CUCACAUGACCCUGGUGAUUGAGUAAAACAGGAUAGUUGAUUAACUUGGGGAAGGAGGCUCUGUUCCCCACAAAAGCGAGUCUGAAAUCUAAACUAAAAAAACAAGAACAUUUUAGCCGAGGCCACCCUAGGUGGCACCUGGGCUUACACACACAGUAAGACCUCAUUAACUUAGAACACAGAUAGCAAAUGCAUUUCAUUUCUCAUGACAUUUCUGAUCCAUUAUAGUGGCUGCUGAGAACGCUGUGUUCAGAGGGAUCCUCCUGCUGCAUCUCAGCUCAACAAGAAAGAAAGCUGUGAUUAUCCAGCAAGUCUGCUGUGGUAGAGGUAUAAGAAGUGAAACCCACAUACCAAGUGUUUGCCACUUGGAAUAAUGGGGGAGGGAGGCAAAUUUCUGUCUGAAAUGCUGAAAAAUUUAUAAAGCUCUGUUGUGUUAAUUUUUUCAAUUACUGUUUUCCAUCACAAACAGAAACAUAAAUCAUAAAUGUAAAUGUCCAAAGUUUGAGAACCUAUUGCAAAGUUUCCAACCAGUGGACUCUCUCAUUCUGUAUUUCCUUAUCACGAGAGCCCAUUGACAGGUUUGUCAUGAGGGACAGGGAUCUAUAUUGAGCAUCCGUUCUAUGGUAAUGAAGGAAAGAGAACUAAAUUCCCAGGGCUGCUCAUGGCUAACUCCCCCGUGAGCGGAAGUGCCUUGGUGGACCUAAACAUGCACUACCUAUUUCCGUGAGUGGGUUCAGACAGACCCUAAAAAGAGAACUCUUACUCAUUCUCACCAUCUGGAAGAAUCAGCUAGUGAGUAACUAACCUGUUCCCCAGAGUUUGAGAUCUGCAUCACUCGAGGGAACCUGGGGAUUGAGCAGAAGUCUCUCAUCAAAGGCACCUCUGGCCUCCCCACUGAUGACAGUCAUUUGGCAAAUCUACCCCUCCACUGUCAUAAUGACAGCUUAAAUGGUGCCUGGAGAUAUUCUCCCUUUCCUGAGUACAGGAUAAGGAGAAGCAACACAGCAAGAGACAGCUCUUUGCAUAUUUUGUGGGAUUCUGUAGUCUAAUGGAGGACACCCUGAUUCAGGAGAGAAGGAGGUUUCUAUGCACGUCUGAACCUGGAGUGCCAGAGACUGUCAGGAGCCCCAGAAUAAAGAAAGUGCAAAGAUUUCUAAAGACAUUUCUCUCUUGGAAGAGGAUAGCCCCUAUGGGUUCCAGUGGAAGUCAAGAAAUGUUUUCUGUACAGCAACCACCAUCAGGUCCACAUUUUGUCUCAUCAGCUCCCUUUUCCAGUGGCUAAUACAAGACUUCAGCAUCACCAGGAAAGACAUUUGGAAGAAAUCAACAGAAUUGGGCUAGCCAUUGCUCACAAAAGUCAUUGUCCUCCUGUCUCCGUCCCCAUUUGGACAUCAAUAGCUGUAGAAUCAUCCCUGGUUUCUAACAAACUUUUGAUGAGAAUCUGAACAACAAUUUUUUCUGUUCACCUUCUCAUGAAAUUCUCUAAGGUCGAAAGAAAAGGACUACAGUUAGUUAGAAAUUAAGAAAAACUCACUUAACUUACCCAAAUACACUGGGUUGCUUUGGUAUUGUGAUUCUCAGUUUGUAAACUGGAAUUUGUUCCUACCAUCUGUGUCACAGAAUGGGCCAUGUGAAAUUCCUCCAAUCUCGCUGGCAGUCUGGCUUCAGGGGCACCAGCAGAUUGAUUGUAAGCUCACUGAGAACAGAGGUCGAUGCUGUUCUGUUAGACAAACAUGUAUUCACUUAACAGAUAUUUAUUGAAUGUCUACAGUGGUUGUACACCAGCACACACAAUCUCAAAGUGAAUACAACAGAUGGAUGUUUCCCUUCACAGAUCUGAUGAUCUAGCUGGGGAGAGAUGGAUUAUAAGCAAGCAACUCAAUCAAUAAACAAAAUCCUCACAGGUAGUGACAAAUCUAUAUUGUACUAUGGGGGAAAAAAACACAGGGUUAGAAAAUAAAAGCAGUAAGAGGGAUCCCUUCCGAUGGAUGGUUCAGGGAAGAGCUGAGACCUACAUGACAAGGAGUCAGCCAUCAUUUCUAGCAGAAGAGAUGGUGAAUACAAGGUGCCAAAUAUGGGAAAUCUUGACAUAUGUUAGAAACAGAAAGAAGGCUACCAUAACUAGAACUUGAUAAGUGAGAGCGAGGAAAGUCAGAAGAGGAGACUGGUGGAAUAGGGAGGAGCUAGAUCAUGUUGUAUAGUCUAGGUUUUAUUCUAAGUUCAAUGAGAAACCAUUGGAAGUUUUUAAGUAAGAAAGUGGCAUGAUUUGAUUUGUAUUUUAAAAGCUUACUCUGGCUUCUAUUUGUGAAAUGGAUGAUAGAAGGUAAUAAUAGGUACAUCUUAUGUACAUUCUCAUACUGCAUCGGUGGAGAGAGUAUAAAAGGAAAAAAAGAGCUGGCUUUAUUCAAUGGGUAUAGCGUAUGCUAUUAUAACAAAAAUAUCCUAAAAUACAAUGCAGUAUUUCAAAGAAGAAAGAAGUUGAUUGCUGUCUUGAAUAAGUUCAUAGGUGACCCAUCCAGGCCCUGCCCUAUAACAUCAGCAAGGACACAGGCCACAGACUUGACACAAUCAUGACCAAACUGUGGCUUCCAUCUCUGGAUCGCAGGCAAAACCUCUACUCUUGCCAUUUUCCAUCCAUGAAGAAGGGGGCAAAUGGAACAUUUCUAGAAGCGUGCUGGCCAAUGUCAAAUGACUAACUCUCUGGGGAAAGAACUGAUAAUGAGCUGGUUUUCAUGGUGUUGAUAUUUCUACCAUGGCUGUUUCAAACUAUCAGCUUGACCUCACUGAAUUCAGAGUUGGAAAGAGAUUUGUGCAGUAGUAUCUCAAAGGUGACUAUGAACUGGCUCCAGCAUACCUCUGGCUCCAGAGCAGAAAACAAAUCCCUGUAUAGAAGCUCCUACUCUGAGCUCAUCGCAUAUAGAUGCAGAUGAAGUAAAGCACACUCAAGAAUACUAGGCCAUAAAGUUUUGUGGAAUCCAUAUAUUGAUUUAUACAAAAGGGUCCAAAACUUUACUUAAAUUCACAGAAAAGGAAACUUUUUAAAGACAUGCCAGAGCACAUGGAAUAUGUCAGGCAGUGAGAUUACUCCAUGUGAAACUGUAAUGGUGGAUACAUGUCAUUAUACAUUUGUCAAAAAUCCAUAGAAUGUACAGCAUAAGAAGUGAACCCUAAUUUCAACUAUGAACUUUAGUUAGUAAUAAUAUGCCAGUAUUUUUUCAUCAGUUAUAACAAGUGGAAUAUACUAAGAAUAGAGGAAACUGAGAGGAAUAAAGGAACAUAUUGGAACUCUUUGUACUUUCUGUUCAAUUUUUAGUAAUCUUUAAUUUUAAAAGUAUAUUAACUAAGAACUUUUCUAGGUCUACAUAUGUGUAUGUAUGUAAAUGUGAAUGUGUGUGUCUGUGUACAGGUGUGUGUGUUGGUGUGUAUGCAUGUCUUUGGGUUCAUGCCUGGGUGUUGGUUGAGGAGAUAGAAAUGAUAGGAG